GAUGAACGCUGGCGGCGUGCCUAAUACAUGCAAGUCGAGCGAACAGACGAGGAGCUUUCUCCUCUGACGUUAGCGGCGGACGGGUGAGUACCACGUGGAUAACCUACCUAUAAGACUGGGAUAACUUCGGGAAACCGGAGCUAAUACCGGAUAAUAUAUUGAACCGCAUGGUUCAAUAGUGAAAGACGGUUUUGCUGUCACUUAUAGAUGGAUCCGCGCCGCAUUAGCUAGUUGGUAAGGUAACGGCUUACCAAGGCGGCGAUGCGUAGCCGACCUGAAAGGGUGAUCGGCCACACUGGAUCUGAGGAGCGGUCGAGACUCCUACGGUAGGAAGCAGUAGGGAAUCUUCCGCGAUGGGCGAGAGCCUGACGGAGCAACGCCGCGGGAGGGAUGAAGGUCUUCGGAUCGUAAAACUCUGUUAUUAGGGAAGAACAAAUGUGUUAGUAACUAUGCACGUCUUGACGGUACCUAAUCAGAAAGCCACGGCUAACUACGUG
rnacentral:rRNA from 1 species